CCUACGAGUGGCAGCAGUGAGGAAUAUUGGUCAAUGGACGAGAGUCUGAACCAGCCAAGUAGCGUGAAGGAUGACUGCCCUAUGGGUUGUAAACUUCUUUUAUAAAGGAAUAAAACGAGGCACGUGUGCCUUUUUGCAUGUACUUUAUGAAUAAGGAUCGGCUAACUCCGUGCCAGCAGCCGCGGUAAUACGGCGGAUCCGAGCGUUAUCCGGAUUUAUUGGGUUUAAAGGGAGCGUAGAUGGGUUGUUAAGUCAGUUGUGAAAGUUUGCGGCUCAACAGUAAAAUUGCAAUUGAUACUGGCAGUCUUGAGUACAGGUGAGGUAGGCGGAAUUCGUGGUGUAGCGGUGAAAGGCUUAGAUAUCACGAAGAAGCCCGAGUGCGAAGGCAGCUUACUAAACUGUGACUGACAUUGAUGCACGAAAGCGUGGGGAGCAAACAGGAUUAGAUACCCCAGUAGUC
rnacentral:rRNA from 1 species